ACUUACGGCCAUACCAUCCUGAAUACGCCUGAUCUCGUCUGAUUUCGGAAGCUAAGCAAGGUCGGGCCUGGUUACUGCUUGAAUGGGAGACAGCCUGGGAAUACCAGGUGCUGUAAGUG
rnacentral:rRNA from 1 species